GAUCAUGGCUCAGGAUGAACGCUGGCGGCGUGCUUAACACAUGCAAGUCGAACGAAGCGCCUGGUCACGAUCCCUCGGGGUGACGACCUUGUGACUGAGUGGCGGACGGGUGAGUAACGCGUGGGAAACCUGCCAUGUACUGGGGGAUAACAGUUGGAAACGACUGCUAAUACCGCAUAAAACUGCCGGAUCGCAUGAUUCGAUAGCCAAAACUCCGGUGGUACAUGAUGGUCCCGCGUCUGAUUAGGCAGUUGGCGGGGUAACGGCCCACCAAACCGACGAUCAGUAGCCGACCUGAGAGGGUGACCGGCCACAUUGGGACUGAGACACGGCCCAGACUCCUACGGGAGGCAGCAGUGGGGAAUAUUGCACAAUGGAGGAAACUCUGAUGCAGCGAACCGCCGCGUGAGCGAUGAAGUAUUUCGGUAUGUAAAGCUCUAUCAGCAGGGAAGAUAAUGACGGUACCUGACUAAGAAGCACCGGCUAAAUACGUGCCAGCCGCCGC
rnacentral:rRNA from 1 species